AUGCAAGUCGAGGGAACGAUAGAGAAAGCUUGCUUUUUCUAGGCGUCGACCGCGCACGGGUGAGUAACGCGUAUCCAACCUGCCCAUCACUUGGGGAUAACCUUGCGAAAGUAAGACUAAUACCCAAUGACGUCUCUAGAAGACAUCUGAAAGAGAUUUAAAGAUUUAUCGGUGAUGGAUGGGGAUGCGUCUGAUUAGCUUGUUGGCGGGGUAACGGCCCACCAAGGGCGACGAUCAGUAGGGGUUCUGAGAGGAAGGUCCCCCACAUUGGAACUGAGACACGGUCCAAACUCCUACGGGAGGCAGCAGUGAGGAAUGUUGGUCAAUGGACGAGAGUCUGAACCAGCCAAGUAGCGUGCAGGAUGACGGCCCUAUGGGUUGUAAACUGCUUUUAUAAGGGAAUAAAGUGAGUCUCGUGAGGCUUUUUGCAUGUACCUUAUGAAUAAGGACCGGCUAAUUCCGUG
rnacentral:rRNA from 1 species